rnacentral:rRNA from 1 species
GAUGAACGCUGGCGGUAUGCUUUACACAUGCAAGUCGUACGAGAGUUUUAACUCAAGUGGCGGACGGGUGAGUAACACGUAAGAAUUUACCUUUAGGAGGGGAUAACAACUGGAAACGGUUGCUAAUACCCCAUAUGCUUUCGAGUGAAAUGGUUUUACCGCCUAAAGAGAAGCUUGCGGCUGAUUAGCUUGUUGGUGAGGUAAUGGCUCACCAAGGCGACGAUCAGUAUCUGGUUUGAGAGGACGAUCAGACACACUGGAACUGAGACACGGUCCAGACUCCUACGGAGGCAGCAGUGGGGAAUUUCGCAAUGGCGAAAGCCUGACGGAGCAAUACCGCGUGAGGGAUGACGGCCUAUGGGUUGUAAACCUCUUUUUUCAGGGAGGAAUCAAUGACGUGUACCUGAAGAAUAAGCAU